rnacentral:rRNA from 1 species
UGGGGAAUCUUGCGCAAUGGGCGAAAGCCUGACGCAGCCAUGCCGCGUGAAUGAUGAAGGUCUUAGGAUUGUAAAAUUCUUUCACCGGGGACGAUAAUGACGGUACCCGGAGAAGAAGCCCCGGCUAACUUCGUGCCAGCAGCCGCGGUAAUACGAAGGGGGCUAGCGUUGCUCGGAAUUACUGGGCGUAAAGGGAGCGUAGGCGGACAUUUAAGUCAGGGGUGAAAUCCCGGGGCUCAACCUCGGAAUUGCCUUUGAUACUGGGUGUCUUGAGUGUGAGAGAGGUAUGUGGAACUCCGAGUGUAGAGGUGAAAUUCGUAGAUAUUCGGAAGAACACCAGUGGCGAAGGCGACAUACUGGCUCAUUACUGACGCUGAGGCUCGAAAGCGUGGGGAGCAAACAGGAUUAGAUACCCUGGUAGUCCACGCCGUAAACGAUGAUUGCUAGUUGUCGGGAUGCAUGCAUUUCGGUGACGCAGCUAACGCAUUAAGCAAUCCGCCUGGGGAGUACGGUCGCAAGAUUAAAACUCAAAGGAAUUGAC